rnacentral:rRNA from 1 species
CCUACGGGAGGCAGCAGUGGGGAAUUUUGCGCAAUGGGGGGAACCCUGACGCAGCAACGCCGCGUGCGGGAUGAAGGCCUUCGGGUUGUAAACCGCUUUCAGCAGGGAAGAUAGUGACGGUACCUGCAGAAGAAGCCCCGGCUAACUACGUGCCAGCAGCCGCGGUAAUACGUAGGGGGCGAGCGUUAUCCGGAUUCAUUGGGCGUAAAGCGCGCGUAGGCGGCCCGUCAAGCGGAACCUCUAACCCGAGGGCUCAACCCCCGGUCGGGUUCCGAACUGGCAGGCUCGAGUUUGGUAGAGGAAGAUGGAAUUCCCGGUGUAGCGGUGGAAUGCGCAGAUAUCGGGAAGAACACCGAUGGCGAAGGCAGUCUUCUGGGCCAUCAACUGACGCUGAGGCGCGAAAGCUGGGGGAGCGAACAGGAUUAGAUACCCUGGUAGUCC